GCGAGUGCGGUGGCACGUGCACGUGUGCAGUAAUACCACGAGCGCACGCUUAUUUUCGCGACUUCGUGUAUAUCAUCAAGAAAUUGGUCUUUGAGCGUUGAGGAAUGGCUGGAACACAUACGUCAUGACAUUGAUGUAAUUUGGGAAGGCCUCAUUGCCAGGUGAAUGUACUGCCAUGGCUGCCUACAUGAACGUUGAGGCUGGCUAGCAUCAUGGUGCAAGUGGACUGACCGAUGAUAUCUCCAAAGUGAAGAGGCAGGUUACGUCAUAAGUAGGACAGACCUCCUCAUAUGAAAGCUGUGGGUAUGCCCCAGGAGAA